UAUAUAUAUCGUUGUCUAAGUACCCACAACACAAGACUUCUUGAGCUUACUGUGGGACUUAGUCAAUCUGUGUGAGAAUGUCCUAUAUUUAUUAAAAAAAAAAAAACACAUAGAAAAAGGGGCAAGCUAUGAUGGCGCCAUCUCUGCAAACCUUUGAUAGUUGCCAACCCCAUUAAGAAACUGGUAGUACUGUAUAUCCCGAGUGAAUACAGAAUAUGUCACUAUUGUUCUGUAUAUGACUAUGGCACGCCUAAAGGUAUAAAGUGUAGUCAGAAUGUGUUAUUUUGGCCCUCAGAAAUUGUAUAACUAGUUUGGACGCAAUACUAUUAUGCCUUUGAUUUACAGCAAUAAUACUAUUUUUUUUGUAUAAAUUAUAAAAUUUGUCAACCCUAUGCGACUUCUGGGCGGUUUUCGUUUAAAUGUUUAUUCAUUAUGUUAUUAAACUUUAAAAGCAAUGUAACUUGGUGACUUUAAUUUAUUAAAAAUCUGGCAUCUGAAAUGCUAUCUUGUAAUGAUCAUUUUAUUUUAAUAGUUAAGAGCCUGACCAUGCUAAAAAGGCUGCCUUUCUACUGAGGCGGAGGUGAGAAGAGACGUGCGGAAAUUAACCAAUAGCAUUGGUUCUCCUCUCCGCUCCGCUGGAUUACAAUCAAUGCUAUUGCUUCAUUCUCACACGUCUCCUCUCAUCUCCCACUCAGUGGAAAGGCAGCCUUAGAGCGUUUUCACAUUGUCCGGAUCGAAGUAAAAUGUAUAACGUAUGUUUUUUAGGGUUCCGUACCAAAAGGGUAAAAACAGUGACAGUUCCAAACAAAUGACAGGCCAGAGACUGCAGGCGGACUGGUAAUCAGUGGGCCCCUUUAGACUCCGCUGUCCGUCUUUUACCAGGCUGUAUCUCAUGAACCGUGAUAGCUAGGCAGUUGAAAUUUUUAACAGAUGAUAUAUUUCAGUUGCCAAUAUAACAACAAAUACUAAAAACAGAAUAAAAUGUGACGUUUUCAACCAAAAGGUACCACAUUGUCGCUUGUUGAUAAUGUUGAUUUCUAAUUGAAGCUAUAUAGAAAUAGCGCCUUACUGACAAGCGACAAUAAGUACCCUUUUGGUUGAAAAUGGCUAAAGUAAAUAUUAAAGUGGGGCUCCUAUACAACAAACGUGAUUUUUUGCGUAAUGGUCGGAACCCUUCGUGCGCGAGUCCGUCUCGCACUUGGCCGGUUCUUAGUAUUUGUCAUUAUAGCGGCAAUAGAAAUUCAUCAUCUGUGAAAAUUUCAACUGUCUAUCACGGCUCACGAGUUACAGCUUGGCCACAAUUUCACCACGGUGACAGGCGCGACAAUUGUAAAACAUCAAUGUUGCUGACGUCACAGGUAUCCAUGGGCUACGGUUACCGCUUACCAUCGGGCGGGCUGUAUUCCUGUUUGCCACCAUCAUUGUAAUAUUUAAAAAAAACUUAUUAUAUCGGCAAAAACCAGGUACGUUUAUGACGAUGAUGAUGACAAUUGUCACAAGAUUUAUAUGAAUUUUCGGUAAUUCUUGACAGGAAAUAAGUUCUGUGUCGGAAUUUUGCGACAAUUGUCGUGUUUCUUGUGACAAUUGUCAUUAGCAUCGCAAAAUAAGUACUUAUUUAUUGGCGAUAUAAUAGAGUUUUUUAUUUAUUAAAAUGUUGGUGGCAAACAAGCACACAGCCCGUUCGAUGGUAAGCGGUUACCGUAGCCUAUGGAGGCAUGUGACGUCAGUAAUAGUGAUUUCGACAAUUGUCGCACCUGUCACCGUGGUGAAAUUGGGGCCUGGUGACAGACGGACAGCGGAGUCUUAGUAAUAGGGUCCCGUUUUUGCUUUUUGGGUACGGAACCUUAAAAAUGACGACUUAAAAGACCCGAGUGUUCAUCAACACUAACUUUAAGUUUAUUAUACCUAACGUCAUAUGAAUCCAACGCAAGCAAUAAAAAUAAUCACGACUGUUCAAGAAAGAUCAUUGUUGUAUAUACCCAAUUAUAAUUUUGCAAUGGAAUAAAUAGUUUUUUAAAAGUG